rnacentral:rRNA from 16 species
CAAACUGAGAGAUAGCUCGUACUCCCCGAAAUGUUUUUAGGAACAGCCUCAUGUUAAGUGUCACAGAGGUAGAGCUACUAAUUGGGUAAGGGGGUGUCAAAACCUACCGAACUCAGAUAAACUCCGAAUGCUGAUGACAUGUUUCAUGGGAGUGAGGCUUUGGGUGCUAAGGUCCAAAGCCAAGAGGGAAAGAACCCAGACCAUCAGUUAAGGUCUCUAAAUAUAUACUAAGUUGAACUAACGUGGUCCAAUUGCUAAGACAGCUAGGAUGUUUGCUUGGAAGCAGCCAUUCAUUUAAAGAGUGCGUA